CCAGACUCCUACGGGAGGCAGCAGUAGGGAAUUUUCCACAAUGGGCGAAAGCCUGAUGGAGCAACGCCGCGUGCAGGAUGAAGGCCUUCGGGUUGUAAACUGCUUUUAUAUGUGACGAAUAUGACGGUAGCAUAUGAAUAAGGAUCGGCUAACUCCGUGCCAGCAGCCGCGGUCAUACGGAGGAUCCAAGCGUUAUCCGGAAUUACUGGGCGUAAAGAGUUGCGUAGGUGGCAUAGUAAGUCUGUAGUGAAAGCGUCCCGCUCAACGGGAUAUACAUUAUGGAAACUGCUAAGCUAGAGGGCGAGAGAGGUUACUAGAAUUCCUUGUGUAGGAGUGAAAUCCGUAGAUAUAAGGAGGAAUACCGAUGGCGUAGGCAGGUAACUGGCUCGUCCCUGACACUAAGGCACGAAAGCGUGGGGAGCGACCGGGAUUAGAUACCCCGUUAGUCCACGCCGUAAACGAUGGAUGCUAGCUGUUAUGCGUAUCGACCCGCGUAGUAGCGAAGCUAACGCGUUAAGCAUCCCGCCUGUGGAGUACGAGCGCAAGCUUAAAACAUAAAGGAAUUGACGGGGACCCGCACAAGCGGUGGAGCGUGUUCUUUAAUUCGAUGGUAAGCGAAGAACCUUACCCAGGCUUGACAUCCUUGGAAGGUCUCCGAAAGGAGACUGUGCCUUGUGAGCCAAGUGACAGGUGUUGCAUGGCCGUCGUCAGCUCGUGUCGUGAGAUGUUUGGUUAAGUCCAUCAACGAGCGCAACCCUUGUGAAUAGUUGUAUUUUUCUAUUCAGACUGCCCCGGUAACGGGGAGGAAGGAGGGGAUGAUGUCAGGUCAGUAUUGCCCUUACGUCCUGGGCUAGAAACGCGCUACAAUGGCUAGUACAAAGGGCAGCCAACCCGCAAGGGGGAGCUAAUCCCAUCAAAGCUAGUCUCAGUUCGGAUUGCAGGCUGAAACUCGCCUGCAUGAAGCUGGAAUCGCUA
rnacentral:rRNA from 1 species